ensembl:lincRNA
AUGAACGCUCCGCUCCGGGUGCCUGGCCGGACACGCCCCACCGUUGCUGUGGCAACCGCGUUCCCCUGCGGCACGCCAAGCCUGGAACCCGGCCGCGGGGGGUUGCCAAGGCAACCAGACUGCACCUCCAAAGGGCAGGCCUCCAAUGAGCAGAGCCUCCAGUGGGGCGGGGUCUCGAGGGCCUGGACCGUAAGAAAAGCAGAUGCUCUGUGGUCCUCGCGCCGCAGAGGGCUUGGGUGGACGAGGCCUGGGUUAAGACAGUGCAGCAGUUCAAAUUCCACGUGUCCCCUCAAACGCCUCCAGGGCUCCCACCUAGCUCCGCAGCCGCGCAUCUGCCCCCUCCCAACCCCCGACUGUGGCUUCUUUCCAGGAAGGAAGAAGAGCAGCAACCUCCAGCCAGAAGGAAGACUCCUUUGCCAUGGGCGGAGUUCCUCACGCUGCUCCUUGACCUUCAUUCUAAACCUGUCAAAUUUACCUGGUGCAGCCAAAUAAAUAAAUAUUUUAAAAAGAAAUAUUCAGAUCUGAAGAAAAUGAAGACACUGCUCAUCCAGAUUUCGAGAGGCCCAGCUAAGGCAGUGAUGGAGGAGGAACUCUGCAGCUUUAAAAAGGUCAGAAAUUUAGAAGGGUUACAAAGCUAUGGUUUAAAGGUUCAAAGCAGUAGAUAUAAGAAUAUUCUAAAAUUGCAGUGAAAUGGAUUAAUUAAUUAAUUCCUAGAAACAUGCCAGAUUUAGCUCAAGAAAUAGAGCACUUGACCAGGGGGAUAAGUAUGAAACAGAGGGAGGGAUAAAAGAUUCACCUCCUCGGGGCCCACAGAGUUCUGCUGUUUCCACCAAAAAUUUGGAAGAACAGUAAUUCCUCUUUUAGGCAGGUAGUUCCAGGAAACAGAGCCUCUCUGAGGCUUUGGAGGGUAGGAUGGUUGUGUGUGCCUGCGCCCUUGCCACUUUCAAGGCUCAGGCCCCCACGGACGCUGCACGUGGAGGCGAAGCAUCUCCCUUAAGCGCACCUCCCUUACGGGUGAGGAUUAAAUGGCUAACCGAGCAAACCCUUGGGGUAGCGCCUGGCACCUGCUGGACGCCGCAGAGGCUUGGCCCUGGGGAUGAAGGGUGCAGGCGCCAGGGGCUGCGUGGGAAGGGGCGGCAUGACGUCACCGCAGUUCCGGUGGGUGAGCUGGCCCGAGGCUUUGUCAAAACUGCCCAGCGGUGGGGCUGCGGAUGGAGGCCGGUGGCAGGCAGAGAUGCCAGUCCGUCCCUGGUGACCUGCUUUCCGGCUGGGGGGCUGACGAAGGCUGGGGUUUGCGGGUGUGGACCGAGGGCCGCCAGUGACUUGGUCUCAACGAGCUGAGCUGGAGAAACAGGGUGUGGGGGACGGGGGCGUGGGGGCCAGAGGAUGGUGGGGGUCUCCCCCCGAGGCAUGCCGGGAGGAGAGGCUGCAGGCCCGCUGGCCAGCCGGUUGCAUCAUCCGCGCGCUGAGAGCUGCCUGCGAUGCUCUGGCCAAACGCCAGGCGCGAUCGAAAACCCACCUGUUACACCUCGGAGUCCGUGUCCCCACACCCCCUACACCCCCACUCCCCUCCCCG